CCACAUCACGUUGAAACUAGUUCCCGUACGAUCACCGACGUUAAGCAACGUCGAGCUGGUCAGUACCUAGAUGGGUAACCGCUUGGGAAUACCAGGUGCUGUAA